CGAAUGGGCCUCUANAAUGCAUGCAUCGAGUUCNNUCGCCANNNCNGAANNGAUAUNUGNAGAUUUCCNGCUUAGAGUUNGAUCCUGGCUCAGAUUGAACGCUGGCGGNNUGCCUUACACAUGCAAGUCGAACGGCAGCACGGGGGCAACCCUGGUGGCGAGUGGCGAACGGGUGAGUAACAUAUCGGAACGUGCCCUGGAGUGGGGGAUAACUAGUCGAAAGACUAGCUAAUACCGCAUACGAUCUACGGAUGAAAGUGGGGGAUCGCAAGACCUCAUGCUCGUGGAGCGGCCGAUAUCUGAUUAGCUAGUUGGUGGGGUAAAGGCCUACCAAGGCAUCGAUCAGUAGCUGGUCUGAGAGGACGACCAGCCACACUGGGACUGAGACACGGCCCAGACUCCUACGGGAGGCAGCAGUGGGGAAUUUUGGACAAUGGGCGCAAGCCUGAUCCAGCAAUGCCGCGUGAGUGAAGAAGGCCUUCGGGUUGUAAAGCUCUUUUGUCAGGGAAGAAACGGUUCGGGCUAAUACCCUGGGCUAAUGACGGUACCUGAAGAAUAAGCACCGGCUAACUACGUGCCAGCAGCCGCGGUAAUACGUAGGGUGCAAGCGUUAAUCGGAAUUACUGGGCGUAAAGCGUGCGCAGGCGGUUGUGCAAAACCGAUGUGAAAUCCCCNGGGCUCAACNUGGGNAAUGGCAUUGGUGACUGUACNGCUAGAGUGGGUCAAANGGGGGUANAAUUCCNCGUGUANCAAUGAAAUGCNUAAAAAUUUUGNAGNAAAACCNAUGGGNA
rnacentral:rRNA from 1 species